GGUAGUCCACGCCGUAAACGUUGGGCGCUAGGUGUGGGGCUCUUUCCACGAGUUCCGUGCCGCAGCAAACGCAUUAAGCGCCCCGCCUGGGGAGUACGGCCGCAAGGCUAAAAACUCAAAGGAAUUGACGGGGGCCCGCACAAGCGGCGGAGCAUGCGGAUUAAUUCGAUGCAACGCGAAGAACCUUACCAAGGCUUGACAUGGGCAGAAAUCCGGCAGAGAUGUCGGGUCCGCAAGGGGCUGCUCACAGGUGGUGCAUGGUUGUCGUCAGCUCGUGUCGUGAGAUGUUGGGUUAAG
rnacentral:rRNA from 1 species